rnacentral:rRNA from 1 species
CCUACGGGUGGCAGCAGUGGGGAAUAUUGCACAAUGGGGGGAACUCUGAUGCAGCGACGCCGCGUGAGUGAAGAAGUAUUUCGGUAUGUAAAGCUCUAUUAGCAGGGAAGAAAAUGACGGUACCUGACUAAGAAGCCCUGGAGAACUACGUGCCAGCAGCCGAGGGAAUACGUAGGGGGCAAGCGUUAGCCGGAUUUACUGGGUGUAAAGGGAGCGUAGACGGUUAUGCAAGUCUGAAGUGAAAGCCCCAGGCUCAACCAUGGGACUGCUUUGGAAACUGGGAAACUUGAGGGCAGGAGAGGUAAGCGGAAUUCCUAGUGUAGCGGUGAAAUGCGUAGAUAUUAGGAGGAACACCAGUGGCGAAGGCGGCUUACUGGACUGUAACUGACGUUGAGGCUCGAAGGCGUGGGGAGCAAACAGGAUUAGAUACCCCGGUAGUC